GCAACGGCGCCAAACACUUCCGGAGCUGCGGGGACGACUCUUCUGGAGGAAGCAGCGCGGGCUUGACCGGCGUCGGCCCGCCGCCUCUGCUGCCGCUUCGCCCCAAUCCGGUCCCUCUGGCCCGGCCUGACCCGGUCUGGCUUGUUCGGGCUCAGCGGCCGCGAGGCCGCAGCUCCCGGCCGUUGAUGCUCACUGCCAUCAGCUGCAUCCUCCCUAUGGCACUGGUAUCUCAUUCAGUUGCUAAACUUAUAUUAGUUAAUUUCCACUGGCAAGUUUCAGAGAUAUUGGACAGAUACAAGUCCAAUUCUGCUCAACUGCUUGUUGAGGCUCGAGUUCAGCCUAAUCCAUCAAAACAUGUUCCCACAUCCCAUCCCCCUCACCACUGUGCAGUGUGUAUGCAGUUUGUGCGAAAGGAAAACCUACUCUCUCUGGCCUGUCAGCACCAGUUUUGCCGCAGCUGCUGGGAGCAGCACUGCUCAGUUCUCGUCAAGGACGGCGUGGGCGUGG
rnacentral:sRNA from 1 species